CUCGUGGCCCCGGAUGCAGCCCCGCCCCCGCGGAACCGGAAGUGAGCGGGCGCUGGGAGCGGUGGGGCGCGGCGGGAUCCUGGCGGACCUGGCUGGCGCGGUGUUCACUGAUCAUCGCAGAUGCCCACACAUUUCUCCUUGGAUUCAGAUAGACUGUGAGCUGCCUCUCCCAGCAAAAA